rnacentral:rRNA from 1 species
UCAUUGGGUUUAAAAGGGGCGCGGCGGGAUUGGUAAGUCAGGGGUGAAAUCCCACGGCUCAACCUGGAACUGCCUUUGAAACUGCAGAGCUUGAAUCCUGGAGAGGGUGGCGAAAUUCCUGGUGUAGGAGUGAAAUCCGUAGAUAUCAGGAGGAACACCGGUGGCGAAGGCGGCCACCUGGACAGGUAUUGACGCUGAGGUGCGAAAGUGUGGGGAGCAAACAGGAUUAGAUACCCUGGUAGUCCACGCCGUAAACGAUGAUAGCUCGCUGUUGGCGAUACACAGCCAGCGGCUAAGCGAAAGCGGUAAGCUAUCCACCUGGGGAGUACGGCCGCAAGGCUGAAACUCAAAGGAAUUGACGGGGGCCCGCACAAGCGGAGGAACAUGUGGUUUAAUUCGAUGAUACGCGAGGAACCUUACCCGGGCUAGAACGCCGAGCGAAUAUGGGGGAAACUCCAUACCAGCAAUGGCGGUCGGCGAGGUGCUGCAUGGUUGUCGUCAGCUCGUGCCGUGAGGUGUCGGCUUAAGUGCCAUAACGAGCGCAACCCCUAUCGGUAGUUGCCAGCGGGUCAAGCCGGGAACUCUACCGAGACUGCCAGCGUAAGCUGUGAGGAAGGCGGGGAUGACGUCAAAUCAGCACGGCCCUUACGUCCGGGGCGACACACGUGUUACAAUGGCCGGUACAGAGGGCAGCGACUGGGCGACCAGGAGCGAAUCCCAAAGCCGGUCUCAGUUCGGAUCGGAGUCUGUAACCCGACUCCGUGAAGCUGGAUUCGCUAGUAAUCGCGCAUCAGCCACGGCGCGGUGAAUACGUUCCCGGGCCUUGUACACACCGCCCGUCAAGCCAUGGGAGCUGGAAGGACCUGAAGUCCGCGACCGCAAGGAGCGGCCUAGGGUAAAGCCGGUGACUGGGGCUAAGUCGUAACAAGGUAACC